rnacentral:rRNA from 1 species
GAUGAACGCUAGCGGCAGGCUUAACACAUGCAAGUCGAGGGGUAGAGGAAGCUUGCUUCCUUGAGACCGGCGCACGGGUGCGUAACGCGUAUGCAACCUACCUUUUACAGAGGGAUAGCCCAGAGAAAUUUGGAUUAAUACCCCAUGGUAUAUAUCAUUCGCAUGUUUGAUAUAUUAAAGUUCCAACGGUAAAAGAUGGGCAUACGUCCUAUUAGCUAGAUGGUAAGGUAACGGCUUACCAUGGCAACGAUAGGUAGGGGUCAUGAGAGGGGGAUCCCCCACACGGGUAAUGAGACACGGACCAGACUCCUAAGGGAGGCAGCAGUAAGGAAUAUUGGACAAUGGGCGCAAGCCUGAUCCAGCCAUGCCGCGUGCAGGAAGAAGCAUCUAUGGUGUGUAAACUGCAUUUGUACGGGAAGAAACACUCCUUCGUGAAGGAGCUUGACGGUACCGUAAGAAUAAGGAUCGGCUAACUCCGUGCCAGCCGCCGCGGUAAGAC